UCAAUUAUUUGAGUUCUGGGACAUUAACUCACAUUUAUACGUACUAAGAGAAACUUGCUACUUUAUCUGUUUGGAAUCAUUUUGAAGACAGAAACUUUAGAUGGAAAAGAUCUUUUGGGGAUGAAUUCACACGUUUGUUAACUGGAUUUUAUCACGCCUAGAUAAAUCUUCCCAAGGAAGAUUUCCUGAAUCAGGCCUCAGGACUGCUCUGUGCAGGAAGAGUGAAGUCAACACCUUUGGUUGAAGGAGUUCAUGUACAGCACGGACCAUGCUUGGAGGAGGAAGAAUCACAGAACUUGAAGUAACAUCUGCCUCAUCAUGAACUUUGGAAGUUUAGAUCAAAUGGGCUAAACAGGAAUGCUCAUGGAAUUCUGAUGAACAAGAGUUUUCUAAAAAUAUGUUCCCAAGUUCUUCCCUCUACAAGCAUUCACUGAAGACUUGACCUCAUGCUAUUACCCUGUGAAAGUGGAAUUUUAAAACAGCCAACCCCAAACAAACCUGUACUAAUCCCAGGGUGGCCAGCUUUACUCAUCGCUAAUGAAACCCAGGAGGGUCCCGAAGUGAAGUGUGACAAUUUGAGAGGCAGAGUGAAGAUCACAGAGGUGAGAAGCCUAUCACCUCUUUUUUCCCAUCCCAAGGAACAUACGGGCGAGACUUAGCAUGUCCGAAGUUCUUGUGGCCUGGACAGAGGUCCCCUGCCUGAGAGCUACAAGGAGAUGGAUGCCCACCUCUGUCACACUCUCUCCUCUAGCUGGCCCAGCUCAGCCCUUUCAAAGGUGCCUUAGCUGACUGAGGGCAUUCAGCUGUGACAGCCAUUUGCACAUGUUAUUUCUGAGGAACUAGGUGAAUGCACUCACAUGGAAGGAGGUGAUGAGAAUGAGAAAUGGUGUAAGUGACUGGUCUGAUCUCCUGGCUGGCAGGCUGUAGGGUCAUGACUCUGUGCUCCCUCACAGGGGUAUGGUUAGAGCUUAUAAGUUCUCUUCUGUCUGACUGGAGUAAAUGGGGUGGUGUUGGAGCAGUGCUGGCAGAAGAAGGCUGGAUCUCCAGGAACUAAGAUAUAAGGGUAUUAUCUGCCACAAUUCUGCUUCUUAUUGAUCUCUAGAUACUCCCUUGGAUGGUAGAGUCAGGCUCUGCCAUACUCCUCAGAAUGGAUCCAAAGAGUCAGAAUUAAGUCAGUCAUCAGACAGGGAUCAGAGGUGGACCUCCUCCAUGCCCACUUUUCCUUUCUGACUGGUUGAAAUCAAGAGCCUCAACCACACAUGAAAUGAUGAUGUCCUGGAGCUUUGUGAAGCCACAGGUAGGAAAAUAGCUUGGGUCCUUGAAACACUGUGUGGAGGAGUGUGCUUUACAACCCCAGAUAUUAAUUUUGAAUUCUAUACAAGCAAA